UUUGGCAAUGUCAGGUUAAGAAAAUAUGUGCGUGGCCAGGCGUGGUGGCUCACACCUGUAAUCCCAGCACUUUGAGAGGCUGAGGCAGGCGGAUCACUUGAGGCCAGGAGUUCGAGACCAGCCUGGCCAACAUGGUGCAACCCCGUCUCUAUUAAAAACACAAAAAUUAGCCAAGCAUGGUGGCAGGCACCUGUAGUCCCAGCUACUGGGGAGGCUGAAGCAGGAGAAUCGCUUGAACCCGGGAGGUGGAGGUUGCAGUGAGCCGAGAUUGCACCACUGCACUCCAGCCUGGGUGACAGAGUGGGACUCUUGACACACACACACACACACAGAAGAAGAAGAAAAUUUGUGUGUGUGUGUGUGUGUGUGUGUGUGUGUAUCCAGAGAGUUAAAUAUACCAUUUUCCCAUUUUAGGGACGAAGAAACUGAGGUGAGGUCACCUGCCCGAGUGAUGCAGCUAGUUGGCAGCAGAGUGGGACCGGAACCCUGCUGCCAGCAAGGGAUUGUGGGGGCUGAGUGGGACUUCCUUCUGGACAACAGAGGGGAG
rnacentral:antisense_RNA from 1 species